AUUGAACGCUGGCGGCAGGCCUAACACAUGCAAGUCGAACGAGUGGCGGACGGGUGAGUAAUGUCUGGGAAACUGCCCGAUGGAGGGGGAUAACUACUGGAAACGGUAGCUAAUACCGCAUACCAUCGGAUGUGCCCAGAUGGGAUUAGCUUGUAGGUAAGGUAACGGCUCACCUAGGCGACGAUGCCUAGCUGGUCGGAGAGGAUGACCAGCUCCACUGGAACUGAGGCACGGUGCAGACUCCGACGGGAGGCAGCAGGGGGGAAUAUGGCACAAUGGGCGCAAGCCUGAUGCAGCCAUGCCGCGUGUAUGCAGAAGGCCUUCAGGUUGUAAAGUACUUUCAGCGGGGAGGCGUUACCCGCAGAAGAAGCACCGGCUAACUCCGUGCCAGCAGCCGCGGUAAUAC
rnacentral:rRNA from 1 species